GCCGAUAUCAAUUUGUUUUCAUAAUUCAAUAUAUUUUUCAAUAAAUUAUAUGGAUGGGCAAACUGAUUCGUAAUCAGUAGGUCGGCAGUUCGAGUCUGCCCACCGGCACCA
rnacentral:tRNA from 1 species